rnacentral:rRNA from 1 species
CCUACGGGUGGCAGCAGUGGGGGAUAUUGCACAAUGGGCGAAAGCCUGAUGCAGCGACGCCGCGUGAGGGAAGACGGUCUUCGGAUUGUAAACCUCUGUCUGUGGGGAAGAAAAUGACGGUACCCAAAGAGGAAGCUGCGGCUAACGACGUGCCAGCAGCCGCGGUAAGACGUAGGGAGCAAGCGUUGUCCGGAAUUACUGGGUGUAAAGGGAGCGUAGGCGGGAUGGCAAGUAGAAUGUUAAAUCCCUCGGCUCAACCGGUGGCUGCGUUCUAAACUGCCGUUCUUGAGUGAAGUAGAGGCAGGCGGAUUUCCUCGUGUAGCGGUGAACUGCUUCGAUAUUACGCGGCACUCCAGUGGCGACGGCGGCCUGCUGGGCUUUAACUGCCGCUGAUGCUCG